AUUGAACGCUGGCGGCAGGCCUAACACAUGCAAGUCGAAUGGUAACAGGAAACAGCUUGCUGUUUCGCUGACGAGUGGCGGGCGGGUGAGUAAUGUCUGGGCAACUGCCUGAUGGAGGGGGAUAACUACUGGAAGCGGUAGCUAAUACCGCAUAACGUCUCAAGACCAGAGAGGGGGACCUUCUGGCCUCUUGCCAUCAGAUGUGCCCAGAUGGGAUUAGCUAGUAGGUGGGGUAACGGCUCACCUAGGCGACGAGCGCUAGCUGGUCUGAGAGGAUGACCAGCCACACUGGAACUGAGACACGGUCCAGACUCCUACGGGAGGCAGCAGUGGGGAAUAUUGCACAAUGGGCGCAAGCCUGAUGCAGCCAUGCCGCGUGUAUGAAGAAGGCCUUCGGGUUGUAAAGUACUUUCAGCGGGGAGGAAGGGAGUAAAGCUAAUACCUUUGCUCAUUGACGUUACCGGCAGAAGAAGCACCGGCUAACUCCGUG
rnacentral:rRNA from 1 species